UAUCGCCCAGUUUGCAAAACUCGCCAACACUUAGGCAAAAAGUCGAAAAAGGGGUCAAAACUCGCAUCGGUAGUCCGAAUGACACGCAAACACACAAAUAGCACCGCGUAGGUAAUAGACACGCGUUAGAACUUACGGGACUCGAUUCCGACAUACGGAGACUGAGUUAUCGCCCAGUUUGCAAAACUCGCCAACACUUAGGCAAAAAGUCGAAAAAGGGGUCAAAACUCGCAUCGGUAGUCCGAAUGACACGCAAACACACUAAUAGCACCGCGUAGGUAAUAGACACGCGUUAGAACUUACGGGACUCGAUUCCGACAUACGGAGACCGAGUUAUCGCG
rnacentral:lncRNA from 1 species